rnacentral:rRNA from 1 species
UAAGGAAUCUUCCACAAUGGGGGCAACCCUGAUGGAGCAAUACCGCGUGCAGGAUGAAGCGUUUCGGCGUGUAAACUGCUUUUAUCUGUGAUGAUUAUGACAGUAGCAGAAGAAUAAGGAUCGGCUAACUACGUGCCAGCAGCCGCGGUAAUACGUAGGAUCCAAGCGUUAUCCGGAAUUACUGGGCGUAAAGCGUCUGUAGGCGGCUUUUUAAGUCGGGUGCGAAAUCUUGCGGCUCAACCGUAUAGAC